GUUGUGUAUGUAGCUGCUAAAAUUUUUAUUACUGGUAAUAAGAUACACAAUCCGUUAGAUCGCAAUCAUUCAGAAUUAAGAGAUAAAAAGUGAGUUUAAACGAUGGUG
rnacentral:sRNA from 1 species